CCUACGGGAGGCUGCAGUGGGGAAUAUUGGACAAUGGGCGAAAGCCUGAUCCAGCCAUGCCGCGUGUGUGAAGAAGGCCUUCGGGUUGUAAAGCACUUUCAGUGGGGAAGAAAGCCUUGGGGCUAAUACCCUCGAGGAAGGACAUCACCCACAGAAGAAGCACCGGCUAACUCCGUGCCAGCAGCCGCGGUAAUACGGAGGGUGCGAGCGUUAAUCGGAAUUACUGGGCGUAAAGCGCGCGUAGGCGGUCUGAUAAGCCGGUUGUGAAAGCCCCGGGCGCAACCUGGGAACGGCAUCCGGAACUGUCAGGCUAGAGUGCAGGAGAGGAAGGUAGAAUUCCCGGUGUAGCAGUGAAAUGCAUAGAGAUCGGGAGGAAUACCAGUGGCGAAGGCGGCCUUCUGGACUGACACUGACGCUGAGGUGCGAAAGCGUGGGUAGCAAACAGGAUUAGAUACCCCUGUAGUC
rnacentral:rRNA from 1 species